rnacentral:RNase_MRP_RNA from 1 species
AUCUGUACAUCCAGACGAUCUCAAGCUGUUCAUCACCACCUUUGUUUGCCCAGCAGU